CUCGACUCGAAUACGCAUGCGCAGUUGACCACUAAAGACGUCCUUUGCGUGAGGCGGAAUGGCGAAUGUAGAAGUGGGAAGAAAGCGCUACUCUGUCAACUUAUUUUAAGAAUACUGUUUUGUAUUGGUGGGGGCUGGCAGUGUCCCUACCAAUGCUGAGACCAAACCUACGCCCUUGGCCUCAACCCCUCCCGAGAUGCUCGACACUGUGGUGGAAAACGUAAAGGAGAUGUGCCAGCCGCCGGCAAGGAAGGUGACCUUCCCGUGGCAGAGGUCCGAAAGCACCACCGUGUCGGAACAGGUGACCUCCACGGCUCAAAGUGUACCUGCGGGAGACGCUGCGCUACUUUUUUUUAAAAUUGCGCAAAGAGGCUUCGGACAGACUGUCGGGGGAGGAAAAGUCAAGCAGGUCUUUGUCCGGCAAGAGCGACGAGAGAGCCGAGGACACCGAGGGCGGAGCUGACAACAGCAUGGCGAGCGUGGUGAAGUCUCUCCUGGACCAGACCGUGGUCCAGGGGCUGAUGGCCCACCAGGUGAUGGGAAACCUCGGCGGGACAUUCGCCGCCUCCGGGUGCCGUCAAGAAGUCACCGAGCAGGAGAGGAAGAAGACCACUGUCCUCUUCUUGGAGAAGCUUCCCAACAAGAUCAGAAGGCAUUGGAUCAAUCUGACCAACAAACCCUUUUAACAUGUUAACUGUUUAAUCAUAAAUAAAGACACAACAUGUUCAAUGUCA